UCUGGCGGCAGUAGCGCGGUGGUCCCACCUGACCCCAUGCCGAACUCAGAAGUGAAACGCCGUAGCGCCGAUGGUAGUGUGGGGUCUCCCCAUGCGAGAGUUGCGAGAGUAGGGAACUGCCAGAC
rnacentral:rRNA from 1 species